rnacentral:lncRNA from 1 species
CUUUUCUGUAAAAAAAUAUGCGAAAUUAUGUAAAGAAAUAAGUGGAAAAAGAAAUUUCUGAUAAAGAAAUAAGCGAAGUUAAAAAUAAAUUCAGUCCCAAAAAAAAACACGAAAGCCAUGUGUAAAAAUACGGGACUAGCUAACAGUCGUGGGUCGUGGGUAGAAUGUCGUGGGUCGUGGGUAGAAUGUCGUGGGUCGUGGGUAAAAAGUCGUGGGUAAAAAGUCGUAAGUCGUGGGUAAAAAGGCGUGGGUAAAAAGGCGUGGGUCGUGGGUAAAAAGGCGUGGGUCGUGGGUUAAAAGGCGUGGGUCGUGGGUAAAAAGGCGUGGGUCCCGAAUAAAAAGUCG